AUCCUCUAUACUACGAAGAGGUGUUCGAAAGUCAUUUGAAACACAUUCUUAGCAUCAUAUCGUCAUCGAUCAGAUAGUCUACCAGAAUGAGGGUUCUAUAGAAAAUACAAUAUAAUGAAAAUAGUUCAAAAUAUAUAUAAUCAAUCAUAAUUAAAUCAUCAUGCUUCCUGUAAAGUAUUCAUCAAAUCAAUAAUUCUGCAAGGCAUGCUAUUAAAUUAUGCAAUUUUAUCAAUAAAACAUGCAAUUUUCGAAGGUGGUCCACUCAUAGAUACUCCGAAGCAGCAGAAUUGUGCGGAAAAUGAUUAAGGAAGUCUCCACUAGCAACUUCACCUAAGCACGAAAAUGUACAAUUUAAUAAACUACCCAA
rnacentral:lncRNA from 1 species